AGUAGAAACGGGGUUUCACCGUGUUAGCCAGGAUGGUCUCCAUCUCCUGACCUCGUGAUUCGUCCGCCUCAGCCUCCCAAAGUGCUGGGAUUACAGGCUCGAGCCACUGAGCCCGGCCAUUAGCUGACUUUUUAAUUCUAGCUGUUCUGGUCCUGGCCAUCGCUGUGAGGCUGAAUGGAUACAGAUGCUACGGAUGGACGUGUCAUAAUAGUUUUAGCCACCAGAAGGAGCUCUAAAACAGACUACAGGGAAGUAUUAGACGUUCUGGCAAAGAGGAGGAAAAUAAUAUAUUGUCUACAGAUGGAGAGUGUAAACCACAUUAAAACUUAAUAAAGAAUUACAGAGUGGCUGAGGGAAUUAUAACACUAAAAAUUCUUCAGAAGACAAAAUACAAGUGCCCAAAGGCAUUAUGCUA
rnacentral:lncRNA from 1 species